rnacentral:lncRNA from 1 species
GACCACAGAAAAAGUAGCCAGCCCACCAUCCCUAGAUGAUUUUGCAGUCUUUGCACACCAGUGUGGCCAUAGGCUUGUUUUCUCCUGGACUGAGCCUGCAGAUCCUAUGAGCAAGCAUAUGUCCUGUGCUCCACUAGUCCUAGCUGGAUCGUGGACAUAUUACCAUCAUUACAAAUAUCAAUAGUUUGUGAUUACUUCAAACAAUCUGAAGUUGAAGGACCCCAGAUAUCCUUCAAAACAGGAAUCUGCAGGCAGAUGCUGAAACCAUGAAUACAGAGGGACAACUAUGUAAGCUCGUUAACGCUGACAUAGUUUUAUGAAUGCAAACAGCCAAGGAGAGCAGAUGUUGAGUGGUUGCCAGAGUGAAAUGAGGAAGCCCUGCUGCCAGCUUCCCACCAAAAAGCAGGCUCCGGCCCUGAACGCAGGAGAGUUGCUAAAGAAGUUGCUCACAGAGGCGGGAGAGAGCAGGCUACUGGUUUCCUUCAAAAUGGAAUAGGAAACAGAAAACGUGCAUCAUUUCUUCGCACUUGAAUCAGCAACAUGACACAGGACUUUGGCAUCAGACUACUAUCACACCAAAAAAAGAGGCUUCACUUGGAGUGCUGCCACUGGAUGGGGCCUGACUUGUUUAUCCGGAAAGAAGUGACUUCCCUGGGAAGAAGGUUGCAUUUGUGAAAGCUUGUGCAGCAUUUCAAGGCUGCAUUCAGGUACAGGUCUUUGAAGAGUUUGCAUUGCUCUGUGAGUUACCAGAGGACUGCCAUCUUUAAUCCAAUUCAGACAGCAAUUCACCAGGCUUUGCAUGUGCUCAGGCCUGUUGCUCCUUAUCAGAGGCCCACAUGGAGCUCUCAGUACAGCUGCAGCCCUGGAGAAUUUCCCUGUCUCCUCCUGUUCUCUCUCUCUCCUCCUCCUCCCGCUUCUCUUCCCUGCCUCUCCCCCACCCCUAUACAAACACACACAUACACACACAGACACACAGACACACACACACACACACACACACUACUCCUUGACUCUUUAAUUUUCCUUUUAAGGCAUCAAAAUCAAUUUUGGGACUCUAUUUGGUACAAAGAGUUGAUAUGGAUUUGAUACGGAUAGAGUUGACUGAUCUCUACUCUGGGUUUGAAGAUGUUGCUGCAAAUGGAAAGGAAAUAAUCCCGGGCUAUUGUGACAGAUGACAUGGUGUAGAGGGAAGAGCGCAGGACUGAAGGUGGAGAAUCACUUGUUUAUGCAACACAUAUUUCCUGAACAUCAAAUACAAGGAUAAAGCCAUGAAGGAAACAGAGCCCUGUUUCUGCAGAACACACGUUCUGGUUGGAGAAGACAAGUAGCGAAUACACCAACAAAUAAGAGAAUAUUUGACGAUGUUGAGUGUUUUAUGAAGGGGAUAAAGAGUGACUGCAGGGCUCAGAAGGAAGCGAUUAUUUUAAGUAGGGAAGGUCUUUUGUAAGAAGGUGCUAUUUAAAUUGAGACUUUAAAGGUGUGCAACUUUGGAUAAAUUGGAAACAAGAAGGGAAGUGCAUUCUGUGGGAUCUAGUAAGAGCAGAGAGUGAUGACCAACUCCAGACCCCAAAGAGAAAGGAGAGUGAGGCUAUUGGCACUUGGAGGCAGAGAAAGCCAUGUGUAGAGGGCGGCCCGACUGAGCUAAAACCUUCAGUCUGUUGGUCUUGAGCUAUUUGAGGGUCUAUUAUGUGCAGGAUUAGUCUCGGCACUAUCGAGGAUCACAAAAGCCUGUUAGUUAUGGAGUCUUCCAGCAAUAGGCUUACAGUCAAGAAUGGGAAACAACACAUAUGCACGUAAUUUGAUUGAAAUGUAGGAAGUCUUAAGGAUGAUAGGAGGAGUUCAGAUAAAGACUAGAAAGUUCUCAGGUGCCAGAUUGCUUCCAGCCAACAGAUCAGAGGAACUGCCAUAGAGGAGGUGGCUGUGUGUGCCCUGGACCUCAAAGGAGAGAGAUGAUAUUCAGACGUGUAGCAGUGAUGGGCAGAAGCACAUUUUAAGUGGAGGGAAUGAAACAGGAUAAGCAAGACUGGUGAUUGAAAAACUCUGUUUGUCUGUGCAGAAAAGAGAAAUCUUAGUUUGACUGGAGCCUCUGGCACAUGAAAGGGAUUUAGAGUUUGCCGUUUCUGUGAACCUGUCCAUCUUCACCCUCAUGCUGUUCUCCUUUCCUCUUUUAACCUGUAUCUUCUCUCUCUUUGUUUUGUUGACUUUCUCUUUUUUGUUUUCUGUUGUCCUUUUUUAUGAGUGGAGCAUUUCAGUGCAAGAGCAAAUGGGAGUGGAGUGGGGUUCUGUGGAAUGUCAGAAAUGCAUGCUCAACCUAGAUUUCCCAAGCUCUCACUCAGUCUUAUCCCAGGGAUCACUUGACAUGAUGGGAAAUGAUGGGAAAAAAAUAAACAAUGUGAUCCCAGAGCAAAGCUUAUUUACUUUAUCCGUUUAACCCAGUUCUACUGCUUCUCUCGCCAUUUCCCAAGAACCAGGGGCAGAAAACAUGAGAAAGCAGAAGGGAGACAGAUUUUAGAGAACGUGAGUUUGUCGUUUGUCCUUCUAGGACGAGAGACCAUGUCUGCCACCACCAGUUUCAGGGAACAACUGAUUCAUUUCACAGCCCCACCAAUGUAUACAACCUGGUUUGUUCUUGAGCCAGGUGCUUUCUCAUUGGUGACAGAGCAGCAGUACUUUCCAGCAUGCUGUAUGAUUAUCCAGACUAGAGGCCCUUCCUCUGCAUGGAUUGGCCCUACUUAAGAAAAGAUACAUAAACUCUCCUGGCCUAUUCUGUGUUUUUCAUUUUUGUUUCUUUAUUCAUCAUCAAAGCCCGGUUAAAUUGGAAAACUUAAGCUCAAUGCAUUUCCACUGAUUUCUCUAGGUGCUCUCAUGAGGCUCAACAGUACACACUCAAUAAAUGCACAAUGAAUAAAUGAAUAGUUGCAAAAGGGUAUCUGGGUUAAAGAAU